rnacentral:rRNA from 1 species
AUUGAACGCUGGCGGCAUGCCUUACACAUGCAAGUCGAACGGCAGCACGGGUGCUUGCACCUGGUGGCGAGUGGCGAACGGGUGAGUAAUACAUCGGAACACGUCCUGUAGUGGGGGAUAGCCCGGCGAAAGCCGGAUUAAUACCGCAUACGAUCUACGGAUGAAAGCGGGGGACCUUCGGGCCUCGCGCUAUAGGGUUGGCCGAUGGCUGAUUAGCUAGUUGGUGGGGUAAAGGCCUACCAAGGCGACGAUCAGUAGCUGGUCUGAGAGGACGACCAGCCACACUGGGACUGAGACACGGCCCAGACUCCUACGGGAGGCAGCAGUGGGGAAUUUUGGACAAUGGGCGAAAGCCUGAUCCAGCAAUGCCGCGUGUGUGAAGAAGGCCUUCAGGUUGUAAAGCACUUUUGUCCGGAAAGAAAUCCUUGGCCCUAAUACGGUCGGGGGAUGACGGUACCGGAAGAAUAAGCACCGGCUAACUACGUG